rnacentral:rRNA from 1 species
CACGUAGGGGCGAGCGUUGUUCGGAAUCAUUGGGCGUAAAGGGCGUGCAGGCGGCCGCCAAAGUCCGGCGUGAAAGACCCAGGCUCAACCUGGGGGGUGCGCCGGAUACUGGGCGGCUUGAGUACAGGAGGGGACGGCGGAAUUCCAGGUGUAGGGGUGAAAUCUGUAGAUAUCUGGAGGAACACCGAUGGCGAAGGCAGCCGUCUGGCCAUGUACUGACGCUGAGGCGCGAAGGUGCGGGGAGCAAACAGGUUUAGAUACCCUGGUAGUCCCUGA